rnacentral:rRNA from 1 species
UACGAAGGGGGCGAGCGUUGUUCGGAUUUACUGGGCGUAAAGGGCGCGCAGGCGGCGGACCAAGUCAGGCGUGAAAGCCCCGGGCUUAACCUGGGAAUUGCGUCUGGGACUGGUAUGCUAGAGUUCGGGAGAGGAGCGUGGAAUUCCCAGUGUAGAGGUGAAAUUCGUAGAUAUUGGGAAGAACACCGGUGGCGAAGGCGGCGCUCUGGACCGAGACUGACGCUGAGGCGCGAAGGCGUGGGGAGCGAACAGG